rnacentral:lncRNA from 1 species
AAUGGACAGCGAGAUUCAGUCCACGUACGACAACCAAGUUUGGAAUUUGGUUAACAAUGUGCCCAGACGUAAGAUGGUUGGGUGCAAAUGGAUCUUAGAGAAGAAGACCGACAUGGAUGGGAAUGUGCACAUGUACAAGGCGCGAUUGGUUGCGAAGGGCUUUACUCAAACUCCCGGAGUCGACUAUGAUGAGACCUUCUCACCAGUUGCGAAGAUUAAAUCUAUUAGGGUGAUGCUAGCUAUUGCUGCAUUUCAUGAAUAUGAGAUAUGGAAAAUGGAUUUCAAGACCACUUUCCUUAAUGGGAAGCUGGCUGAUGAUGUUUACAUGGCUCAGCCAGAAGGUUUUGUGGAUCCGAAGCAUCCAAAUAGAUUGUGCAAGCUUGAGAUGUCCAUUUAUGGACAUAAGCAAGCGUCUCGCAGAUGGAAUCUUUGCUUUGAUGAGAAAGUCAAAGAGUUUGGAUUUUUACGAAGCAUAGAUGAAUCAUGUGUAUAUGUCAAAGCCAGUGGGAGGAUAGUUAGCUUUCUCGUUUUGUAUAUCGAUGACAUACUGCUCAUAGGAAAUGACGUCCCGACUCUGCAGGAGGUAAAGUCCUGGCUCGGGAAGUGCUUCGCUACGAAGGACCUAGGAGAGGCUUCCUAUAUUUUGGGAAUAAGGAUAGGGAGACAAAGAAGUAAGAGACUAAUAGGACUUAGUCAAAAUACUUACUUAGAUAAGGUACUAAAACGUUUUAGUAUGGAAAACUCGAAGAAAGGAGAACUACCGAUACAGAGUAAUACCAAGUUGAGUAAAACUCAAAGUCCAAGUACCGAAGCCGAGAUAGCUGAGAUGAGCCAAGUACCUUACGCAUCUGCAGUUGGCUCGAUCAUGUAUGCUAUGACUUGUAUUCGACCUGAUGUGGCCUUUGCUUUGAGCAUGGUCAGUAGAUAUCAACGGAAUCCUGGUAGAGCGCAUUGGAUUGCAGUCAAGAACAUCCUUAAGUACCUCCGGAGGACCAAGGAAUGGUUUCUAGUUCUCAGAGGAGACAGUGGGAGGCAGAUCGAUUUUGAAGAGAUUCAAUAGCCGAGUGAUGAAGGAACCUCUACCGCUGGCACUCAACCUGGGGAGGAAACUCCGGUUGAACUUAUUCAAGAGUCCUUACCUCUUAGACGUUCCGAUAGAGUUAGAGUUGAUCCCCAGUUUUAUGGUUUUCAUAUUACUACCGAAGGGGACACGUAUAUUAGUGAUGGUACACUAAUAAAUCUUGAUGAACCUAAUAGCUAUAAGGAAGCCAUGGCAGGCCCGGAGUCUGCAAAAUGGAAAGAGGCAAUGGAUAGCGAGAUCCAAUCCAUGUAUGAUAACCAAGUUUGGAAUUUGGUUGAUUAUGUGCCCGGACGUAAGACCGUUGGGUGCAAAUGGAUCUUCAAGAAAAAGACCAGUGUGGAUGGAAACGUACACACAUAUAAAGCACGAGUGGUUUUGAAGGGCUUUACUCAAACUCCCGAAGUUGACUGUGAUGAGACCUUCUCACUAGUUGCAAAGAUAAAAUCUAUUAGAGUGAUGCUAGCGAUUGCUGCAUUUCAUGAUUAUGAGAUUUGGCAAAUGGAUGUCAAGACCGCUUUCCUUAACAGAAAGUUGGCUGAGGAUGUUUACAUGGCUCAGCCAGAGGGGUUUGUGGAUCCGAAGCAUCCGAAUAGAGUGUGUAAGCUUGAGAAGUCCAUUUAUGGACUUAAGCAAGCGUCUCGCAGAUGGAAUCUUUGCUUCGAUGAGAAAGUCAAAGAGUUUGGAUUUGUACGAAGAGAAGACGAAUCAUGUGUAUAUGUCAAAACCAGUGGGAGUGUAGUAAGCUUCCUCGUUCUAUAUGUCGAUGACAUAUUACUCAUAGGAAACGACAUCCCGACUCUGCAGGAGGUUAAGUCCUGGCUCGGGAAGUGCUUCGCUAUGAAGGACCUCGGAGAGGCUUCUUACAUUUUGGGAAUAAGGAUAGUAAGAGAAAGAAGUAAGAGACUAAUUGGACUUAGUCAGAAUACUUACUUAGAGAAGGUACUAAAACGUUUUAGUAUGGAAAACUCAAAGAAGGGAGAACUACCGAUACAAAGUAAUGCCAAGUUGAGUAAGACUCAAAGUCCGAGUACCGAAGCUGAGAUAGCAGAAAUGAGCCGAGUACCAUACGCUUCCGCAGUUGGCUCAAUCAUGUACGCUAUGACUUGUACUCGCCCUGAUGUAGCCUUCGCUUUGAGCAUGGUUAGCAGAUAUCAAGGGAAUCCUGGCAGAGCACAUUGGAUUGCGGUGAAGAAUAUCCUUAAGUACCUUCGGAGGACAAAGGAAUGGUUCUUAGUCCUCGGAGGGAGUGAUGACUUGAAGGUGCGAGGGUAUAGUGACGCCAGUUUUCAGACCGACAGGGACAACUACCGUUCGCAGUCGGGCUGGGUCUUUACCCUAAAUGGAGGAGCAGUGACAUGGAAAAGUUCCAAGCAGGAAACCGUAGCUGAUUCAACGUGCGAAUCAGAGUACAUUGCAGCGAGCGAAGCGUCGAAGGAGCAAAUAUGGCUGAAUAACUUCAUCGGUGAUCUUGGAGUUGUACCUGCCAUAAAGGAGCCCAUGGAGAUUUUCUGUGAUAACGAAGGAGCGGUAGCCUUGACCAAGAAACUGAGGGAUCAUGGUAGAUCAAGGCAUAUCGACAGAAAAUAUCACUUCAUUAGACAUCGUGUAGAAGAAGGACAACUCGUAGUGAAGAGGAUAUCAUCAGAAGAUAACCCAGCAGAUCCGCUUACGAAGGGACUGAGUAGGGUUAAGCACUUGCAGCAUGCUAGGAGUAUUGGGCUGAAGGAUG